rnacentral:lncRNA from 1 species
GACGAGGGGAUUGGCCGCAACAGAUUGGCGCGCCAGGUAGGGGUCGAACCUACGACAGCACCAGGGAUUGUAACCCUCACGAAACUCGAAACAUCCUUUCGAGAUGGCAAGAACCAGAGCUCAGUGAUCGAGGGUCACCGGGUCGGCGAAGCUCUCUUCCCGUCGGGAAGAGGCCUCCCCUCCACCCUCCAUGGGGGAACCUAGUUCUCCGCACCCCGCGG